GCCACGUUCUGUGGCGUCUCAUCUGGAUCCAAACUGUUUGCAAAGGCCUUCAAAAUUCGGUUCCAGCACUGUAAGAGUUAAGAGGGAGUUUUGCAAGUCAGUCUGCUGUUUACUGCAGUUUGCUGUUGAGAACGAUAACCACGGCAUCUGCUGCAUCCGCGCAAAGUUGUCUUCUCACAGAAAUCCAUUACUUCAUGUUUAGGUGUAUCUACUUUCUAGCUAGUUUUCGUUGUGAUCACAGUUUGUUAUCAUUUCCUAGCUGAAACCCUAGAUUAAGUGUAUCUGGCAUUUGUUAGAAAAACAUUUUGCCCUGAACAAAGCCUGAAUCUGAAAUAACAGCGACAAUUUUGUGGAAACUUAGGGAACAUUUAUUUUAGUGAAUAAUUUUGUCGUACAUGUUGUAAAGAUGUUAACCUAAUUUUAUGAACUUCAAUUCACUAUUUAAUUUGAAAGAAGUUCUAUAUUAAUUAUAUUAAAACUAAGGUCAAAUGUAACGUAAUAUAAAAUAUAUACCUUCAAUUUAGUAUGUUUAUUAGAACAGAUGUAAUAAUAAGUUAACCGUAUUAACUAUGAUUAUUGUUUCCAUUUGCCUAAUGUAUAUAUAUUUGGAUAAAGCAAUUAUCAUUGUAUUAUUAUUGAUUCUAUUCUUUGAAUUAUUUUGACAUGUCUUUUUUUCUCUUUUGUUUUACCUAACUAUUCGUAUUCAUCGUUUUGUGUUGUACUUCUCAAAUACAUGUACCAUGUCUUUGCUUUCUCACAAACACAUACCGUGUAUAGGCUAUAAAUUUGCAAUAUGCUGUUUUAUGCCUAAUAAAUGUUAUGUUAUGUUAUGUUAUAUUGAAUUGUGUUCAUAGGGAAUGUUCUAUUUUCCAUAACAAUAUAAAACUCUGAGGUUUAAAAGACAUUAUGAUUUUAUGAACAGAGAUGUAUAUAAGGACAGGUCAUGUUAUUUUUUUCUUUCUUUCAUAUACCUUUUCGCAUAUGUAACGAUACAGUAGUUGAUGUAUCAUGUAUUUAUAAUUUU